AAAUGCUUUGCUUUUUUAUUUUUAUCACAGUUUUAUGAGCUAAAUCUUGUAAUUACCCCAUUUACGAAGGAGGAAACUGAGGCUCAGAGAGAUUAAGAUCACAGGGCUAGUAAGAGGUAGAGAUGAGGAUCCUGAAGGCAGAGGUGUCUGAACCUAGAGUACUACUUACACCCCACCUGCCACUGCCCCAAAGGUCCUGCAAACAAUACUUUCAGCUCUUGUGGGGACGCCAUGUUCGUUAAUAGUUUCUAGACAAUUCAAGGCCUUUAGACAUAACGUUAAAUCCUGUAUUCCCACAAUGAGUGAGGAGCUGUGCCAAGUCCUGGGAGAGACAUGAUGUUCCCUCUCACUGCCUCGAUCUUCUCAUUUCCUUAUACUUGUUCGUAAAAAUCAAAUGGAAAUUUAUGAAUUAUUUAGUGAACAACCUGGCUUUAUAAAGAACAUAUGCAGCCUGCUGGUUUCAUAGAUUUUCCAGACUGUAAUAGAAUCAUUUUAGCUUACUUACUUUUUUCUAUUUCAGUGGAUAAAAGUGACCAAAUUGAAACUCAGCCCUCGUCUUUGUCUCCUGGUUGCAACUAUGGCAAGUAUACCUUCAGACGUGAUUCAUCAGAAAAGGCACAUCCAACUUCGUUUCAAUAAUCAUCUGAGCAACUAUCAAAGAUACAUUACCAUUAGAAGGAGAGGACAUUUUAUUCUCAAGAAGACGUGGCGCAGACUGAUUCUUCAUUUUAAGGAUGCUCCUUUAACUUGUGGUUUUAAAAUAUUUAAAGCUACCUUUUGAAUGAUAAAAAGUGGCGAAAAAAAGAAUGAUCAGAACUGGGACACAUUUUUAAAUUCAUUUUGAAUAUUUCUACUUUUAUUUUGGAACUGAAAUGUGUUAUGGAAUAUAGCUUGACAUUUAUAGACAACCCAUUCAUGAUAUACAAUAAUAAUAUAAAUAUAUGGAUGGAAACAAAUUCAGUUGUAGAAACAGUAAUUCCGAGUGCAUUAUAGUAAACCGUAUUUUUUUAACCUUUCGUCAUGCAAAUUUCAUCAUAAAUGCAGUAAUGCUGAUUUAUAAAUAAAGACUAUCCGUUCAAAUAUUGCCGGUUUUUU
rnacentral:lncRNA from 1 species